rnacentral:sRNA from 1 species
CCAAAAUGAUAAGAGCAGUUUGGUAAUACAAGUAGGUAAAUCAAUUCUUUUAAAUAUAUAUGCGUGCGGUACCAUAUUUCUGAGACUGUGGUGUUACAAUUCAUCCCACUAACCAAACGCAACAUCCUCAUUGCACACCAAGAUUGUCACCCCGACAGUGUGAGCCCUCUUGAUCCCAUACUUGUCUUAGUUUAGCUCUGAUACCACUUGUAACAUCCCGACCGUCCUUACUAAUGUGCCCUCGUUCUCUCUCGGGCAUGUGAGCCCACCCUUGUCCGACGGUCAGUCUGCUAUGUCCAGGAGGCUUGGAAAACUUGUUUACCGAUCCUACAAACUACCACAUGAUCUUUCCCUAUGCUUUGUCCUCACUCACAUGGUUCCGACAAUUACAUUCCAGAAGCACACCCAUUCUGAAAUUAUUGGUGCCCAAACACGUUUAACUGUGGAGUUUUCUAACGACGUUUAACCAAAAAGAAAAGUGCACUUUGGUGAAAUGUGGCCAAAUCAAUUCUUUUAAACCUCUCCACAUACAUCACCGUAUUUCUGAAACCGG